rnacentral:rRNA from 1 species
CCUACGGGUGGCAGCAGUGAGGAAUAUUGGUCAAUGGGCGCGCGCCUGAACCAGCCAAGUAGCGUGAAGGAUGACUGCCCUACGGGUUGUAAACUUCUUUUAUAAAGGACUAAAGUGAGGCACGUGUGCCUUUUUGUAUGUACUUUAUGAAUAAGGAUCGGCUAAAUCAGUGCCAGCAGCCCCGGUAAUACGGAGGAUCCGAGCGUUAGCCGGUUUUAUUGGGUUUAAAGGGAGCGUAGAUGGGUUGUUAAGUCCGGUGGGAAUGUUUGCUGCUCAACCGUAAAAUUGCAAUUGAUACUGGCAGCCUUGAGUACAGUUGAGGUAGGCGGAAUUCGUGGGGUAGCGGGGAAAUGCUUAGAUAGCACGAAGAACUCCGAUUGCGAAGGCAGCUUACUAAACUGCCACUGACAUUGAUGCUCGAAAGUGUGGGUAUCAAACAGGAUUAGAUACCCGGGUAGUC